UGCUUAACACAUGCAAGUCGAACGGCAGCAUGACCUAGCUUGCUAGGUUGAUGGCGAGUGGCGAACGGGUGAGUAACGCGUAGGAAUAUACCUUAAAGAGGGGGACAACUUGGGGAAACUCAAGCUAAUACCGCAUAAUUUCCUUGGAAAAAAGCUGGGGACCUUCGGGCCUGGCGCUUUAAGAUUAGCCUGCGUACGAUUAGCUAGUUGGUAGGGUAAAGGCCUACCAAGGCGACGAUCGUUAGCUGGUCUGAGAGGAUGACCAGCCACACUGGAACUGAGACACGGUCCAGACUCCUACGGGAGGCAGCAGUGGGGAAUAUUGGACAAUGGGGGCAACCCUGAUCCAGCAAUGCCGCGUGUGUGAAGAAGGCCUGAGGGUUGUAAAGCACUUUCAGUGGGGAGGAGGGUUGACAGGUUAAGAGCUAGUUAACUGGACGUUACCCACAGAAGAAGCACCGGCUAACUCCGUGCCAGCAGCCGCGGUAAUACGGAGGGUGCAAGCGUUAAUCGGAAUUACUGGG
rnacentral:rRNA from 2 species